CUCGGCAACGGAUAUCUCGGCUCUCGCAUCGACGAAGAACGUAGCGAAAUGCGAUACUUGGUGUGAAUUGCAGAAUCCCGUGAACCAUCGAGUCUUUGAACGCAAGUUGCGCCCGAAGCCAUUAGGCUGAGGGCACGUCUGCCUGGGCGUCACGC
rnacentral:rRNA from 1 species